rnacentral:rRNA from 1 species
CUGCGAAUGGCUCAUUAUAUCAGUUAUAGUUUAUUUGGUGAAGGAUACUAAUUGGAUAACCGUAGUAAUUCUAGGGCUAAUACAUGAGUAAAGUCCCAUUGGGAUGUGUUUAUUAGAAUGAAAACCAUAUGCUUCGGCAUGAUAGUGAGUAAUAGUAACCUAUCGUAUCGCAUGCUUAAAGUAGCGAUGAGUCUUUCAAGUUUCUGCCCUAUCAGCUUUCGAUGGUAGCAUAUGGGUCUACCAUG